UUUAUGCUAUUUUUCAUGUUCCAAAAGUUAGGUUUGGGUGCCCCAAAUCAACCACAAUGAGGAUUUUAAUGGCCAAUUGUUCUAUUACCGUAGGAUGUUCUUGUGAAAUAAAACUAGAUGAUACAUUAGAAAUGAGCUAAAUUCAACAUGUCCUGUUGAUGUCCUUUAAUUCAAAUACGAGGUCAUGUUUGACUUUUCAAAUGCUUCACUAUAACUUAUGUGUCUCAUCAGAGGUUUAUUGAACUAACAUCUCACCUCUUAUUUAUGUACAAUUUGGAUCCAUCUCUAUCACCUCUCUCAAUCUUUUGCUUAAAACCAUUACUUGUUGAAUAGUAGCAAUAUCACCAGAGGAUUCCAUCUUUCGAAAGAGGCAAUGAUGAUAUUGCUAACUCUAGGCUGAUAAAUGGGGCAUUGAGAAAACCUGAUUGAUUCACUUUGCAACCAUGGCAUUAUUAUCUUCUAUUUGCCCUAUUUUACACAUAUCUAAGCCUUGAAUUAAAAUGGAUCUUUGUGGAUUCUUCAAGAUCCAGACCCAUAAGCUCUUUUAAUGGAAACCCAGUUCAUUUUCUACUCUUAAGGCCGAUCGAAUCAGAGAAAAUAGGAAAUUUUUAGGGUGUUUGACUAUCUCCGGUAUGUUGAUGAUUUAUUCUUCAUGUUAACCAACAAAUAUUUUAGAUUUUGUAUGUAGAUGAAGUGCACAUAUAGUCGAUUUAGACCUUUCUAAGGUCAUUGGAUGUUAUAAUUUCCUAUGGCCCUGUUUAGAGAAUAUCCAAAGUUUACAAAAUCAUAUAGAGUUACAAAAUAUAGAGUAGUCGAAGCAUAGUACAGAUCUUGAAGUUCUCAAUACAAUUGUGUCACAUUCUAACGCUCAUCGGACAAUGAGAAUCUCAUAUCUGAUGAUGAAUUUCUCCACAGAAGAGGUCGUGCCAUACUUACACAUAAUAGUAAUGGUUUCAUUACAAAACGUCUGAAGUACAGUGGAAUUAGACUGCACAAACAUGGAAGAGGAAGGAUUGGAAGGGGCAGUCUCAUAGAAAGAAGUGAUUUAUCGCUUAUCCCAACACUCUAAUUAAAAUUUGUGUCAAAGGGUAAAAAAAUGAAGAACCACAGAUUAAAUUUUGUACUUUUCUCUCUAUAUUUGGAGUGUGUGAGUGUAUAUUCUCGAAAAAACAAUUUGGCAUUUUUGUCUUAGAACUCACAAAUUCUAUUGAUCUUUAUUUAAAUUA